rnacentral:SRP_RNA from 2 species
UGGCAGGCUAGGCGGGUGGCUAGUCCUCACUUGCACCAUAAAUGGACUAUACGAUGGGCUGAAGUCUGGAAGAGGUAUACAAUGUUGUUCAAAGUCCUACUUGGACAAUGACACUUCGUCCUCUUGGGUUUGUAUGUAUAUCAAUCGAGUCAGGCCAGGAAUGGAGCAGCUCUACGUAUCUGUGCGAGCGUCUUGAGGGUCGCGACGUGGAGAAAAAGUUUGGAUCAAACUUUGGGUGCAUAGCGUAUCCAUUUCAGAUGGCCUGCCA